rnacentral:rRNA from 1 species
UACGUAGGGUGCGAGCGUUAAUCGGAAUUACUGGGCGUAAAGCGUGCGCAGGCGGUGAUGUAAGACAGAUGUGAAAUCCCCGGGCUCAACCUGGGAACUGCAUUUGUGACUGCAUCGCUGGAGUGCGGCAGAGGGGGAUGGAAUUCCGCGUGUAGCAGUGAAAUGCGUAGAUAUGCGGAGGAACACCGAUGGCGAAGGCGGCAUCCUGGACCAACACUGACACUGAGGAGCGAAAGCCAGGGGAGCAAACGGG